CCCUUAGAUGUUCUGGGCCGCACGCGCGCUACACUGGUGCAUUCAACGAGUUUCUUCCUGGUCCGAGAGGAAUGGGUAACCUUUUGAAAGUGCAUCGUGAUAGGGAUAGACUAUUGCAAUUAUUGGUCUUCAACGAGGAAUUCCUAGUAGACGUAGUUCAUCAGACUGCAUCGAUUACGUCCCUGCCCUUUGUACACACCGCCCGUCGCUCCUACCGAUUGAAUGCUCAGGUGAGCCAUUCGGACUUUCAUCAUGCUGGUUUCCAGUUUUGAUGAAGGAAAGUCUUGCGAACCUUAUCAUUUAGAGGAAGGAGAAGUCGUAACA
rnacentral:rRNA from 1 species